rnacentral:rRNA from 1 species
GAACGCUGGCGGCAUGCCUUACACAUGCAAAUCGAACGGCAGCACGGACUUCGGUCUGGUGGCGAGUGGCGAACGGGUGAGUAAUGCAUCGGAACGUGCCAUUGAGUGGGGGAUAACGUAGCGAAAGUUGCGCUAAUACCGCAUAUUCUGUGAGCAGGAAAGCAGGGGACCGCAAGGCCUUGCGCUCUUUGAGCGGCCGAUGUCAGAUUAGCUAGUUGGUGAGGUAACGGCUUACCAAGGCGACGAUCUGUAGCGGGUCUGAGAGGAUGAUCCGCCACACUGGAACUGAGGCACGGUCCAGACUCCUACGGGAGGCAGCAGUGGGGAAUUUUGGACAAUGGGCGCAAGCCUGAUCCAGCCAUGCCGCGUGAGUGAAGAAGGCCUUCGGGUUGUAAAGCUCUUUCGGCCGGGAAGAAAUCGCAUGGGUUAAUACCCUGUGUGGAUGACGGUACCGGAAUAAGAAGCACCGGCUAACUACGUG